rnacentral:rRNA from 1 species
GUCGAACGCUGGCGGCGUGCCUAAUACAUGCAAGUAGGACGCAGUUGCGAACGGGUGAGUAAAGCGUAGGUAACUGCCUAUUAGAGGGGGAUAACUAUUGGAAACGAUAGCUAAUACCGCAUACUAGUAGAUGGACCUGCGUUUUAUUAGCUAGUAGGUAGGGUAAUGGCCUACCUAGGCGACGAUACAUUGCCGACCCUAGAGGGUGUUUGGCCAAACUGGGACUGAGACACGGCCCAGACUCCUACGUGAGGCAGCCGUAGGGAAUCUUCGGCAAUGGGGGGAACCCUGACCGAGCAACGCCGCGUGAGUGAAGAAGGUUUUCGGAUCGUAAAGCUCUGUUGUUAAGGAAGCGGUACUUAACCAGAAAGGGACGGCUAACUACGUGCCAGCAGCCGCGGUAAUUC